rnacentral:rRNA from 1 species
UACGAGAGGUGCGAGCGUUAUUCGGAAUUAUUGGGCGUAAAGGGUGCGCAGACGGUUUAUUAAGUCAAUUGUUUAAUUCCUCGGCCUAACUGAGGGUCAGCGGUAGAAACUGAUAAACUAGAGUGUGAGAGAGGGAAGUGGAAUUCUCGGAGUAGCGGUAAAAUGCGUAGAUCUCGAGAGGAACACCGAUGGCGAAGGCAGCUUCCUGGCUCAUUACUGACGUUCAUGCACGAAAGCGUGGGGAGCAAACAGG